GUGAGUCUGUCUUUCUGUAUGUAAAUGUACAUUUUGUGUCCUGGAUGAAUGACUUGAGCUGAACAAAGUUCCAUACGGCGGUAGUUCCCGGCGCGUGUCCGAUGAUGAAGUACUAUUCUCGGACACUCGUGCUGGAAUGGUGGGUGUGCUGGAUGGAUGACUUGAACCAAACGAAGUUCCAGAGAGCGGGAGUUCCCGGCGGUAAUUUAAAGUUGAUCCGGCCGUUCCCGGCCUUUGGAGGUGUUUGCGGGGCUCCGGGGUUGUACCGGGGUGAUCCGGUAAUGUGUCCGGGUUGGAGCGUCUUUUUCCGGACUUAAUCCGGCCGUUCCCGGCCUCUGGAAGUGUUAUGCGAUUUUAUCGCCGAAAAAGUCCUUUUCAAAUUCGCCUCUUUCAGUUUGUUUUGAGCAAAAUGUAUUUGUUCAGUGAUUUACAUUUUUUGUAAAGAUUGAAUUUUUUGUAAAGAUUGAAUUUUUUGUAAUGAUUGAAUUUUUUGUAAUUUCACAAUGUGUAAUUAUGGCAUAAU
ensembl:lncRNA